rnacentral:rRNA from 1 species
GGGUCAGCAGGUUGGUCGUGCCACUGGUAUGCACUGGCUUCGCUGAUGCCUCCUUUCUGAAGAACUGUAAUGCCAUUAAUUUGGUGUUGCAGGGAAACAGGACUGUUACUUUGAAACAAUUAGAGUGUUUAAAGCAGGCUAACGCUUGAAUACAUUAGCAUGGAAUAAUGAGAUAGGACGUUCGAUCCUAUUUUGUUGGUUUCUAGGAUUGACGUAAUGAUUAAUAGGGAUAGUUGGGC